rnacentral:rRNA from 1 species
UACGUAGGGUGCGAGCGUUAAUCGGAAUUACUGGGCGUAAAGCGUGCGCAGGCGGUUAUGUAAGACAGAUGUGAAAUCCCCGGGCUCAACCUGGGAACCGCAUUUGUGACUGCAUAGCUAGAGUGCGGCAGAGGGGGAUGGAAUUCCGCGUGUAGCAGUGAAAUGCGUAGAUAUGCGGAGGAACACCGAUGGCGAAGGCAAUCCCCUGGGCCUGCACUGACGCUCAUGCACGAAAGCGUGGGGAGCAAACAGG